AGGUUCGGUGUCCCCUCCGUCCUGAGAGCUACGAACAAGGCCUAAGUCCAGCAUGAAGCCCCCAGACCGCCCCACCUCGGGUCGCACUGACCGGAUGCUGGGGGCCAUGGGGGGCAUGCUGCGCGCAUGCGCCCUGCCCGAGCCUGAGGGGCCCCCCAACAGGAGCCUUCUGAGGCUUGGGGAAAGGGAAUCUGAGCCUAAAAGUACGAAGUGGGGUAACGGAGGGGAGGUAGAAACUGCGGCCUCCGCACCGACUCAGGCGCUUGAGUCCUAUUCCAUUGCUGGCAGUGAAGGCAGUGUCUCUGCUUCUGUUGCCUCUGUCCUGGCUCCCACUUCUGCCCCUAGCUCUGGACUCAGUUCUGGUCACUGUUCCCCUGGACCCCCAGGGCCUGUCAGUGGCUUGAGGCGGUGGUUGGACCACUCUAGACACUGCCUCAGUGUGGAAACCGAGACAGACAGUGACCAGGCAGGAUCAUGUCAGGGAUGGAUUCGGGAGUCAACUCUAGCCUCAGGGGAGGAACUACCAGAACUGACUCUACUGACCACUUUAUUGGAGGGACCUGGAGACAGGACCCAGGAAAGUACAACUUCCCAGCCCCCUGAAGAGACUCCCUCUCAGACUACGGAAAGUGAGGAAGAACAAAGGAAGAAGGCUUUGGACAGGAGUAUGUAUGUCCUGAGUGAACUGGUGGAAACAGAGAAAAUGUACGUGGAGGACUUGGGGCAGAUUGUGGAGGGCUAUAUGGCAACCAUGACAGCCCAGGGCAUCCCUGAAAAUCUACGAGGUCGAGACAGGAUUGUGUUUGGGAAUAUCCAGCAAAUCUACGAAUGGCACAGAGAUUACUUCCUUCAAGAACUACAGAAAUGUCUUCAGGAUCCUGAUUGGCUGGCCCAGCUCUUCAUUAAGCAUGAGAGGAGGCUACACAUGUAUGUCAUUUACUGCCAGAACAAACCGAAGUCGGAACAUGUCAUGUCUGAAUUUGGAGAUAGUUACUUUGAGGAGCUCCGUCAGCAGCUAGGUCACCGUCUUCAGCUUAACGAUCUUCUCAUCAAACCUGUCCAGCGAAUCAUGAAGUACCAGUUGCUACUCAAGGAUUUCCUCAAAUAUUAUAGUAAAGCCAAGAAGAAUACUGAAGAGCUUGAGCGUGCAGUAGAGGUCAUGUGCUUUGUGCCCAAACGCUGCAACGAUAUGAUGAGUCUGGGGCGACUUCGAGGCUUUGAGGGCAAGCUGACCACCCAGGGGAAGCUCCUGGGUCAGGACACAUUCUGGGUGACUGAACCAGAAGCAGGGGGGCUGCUCCCUGCCCGGGGUCGAGAGAGACGAGUCUUCCUCUUUGAGCAAAUCAUCAUCUUCAGCGAGGCCCUAGGGGGAGGGGUCAGGGGUGGGGCACAACCUGGAUAUGUCUAUAAGAACAGCAUCAAGGUCAGCUGUCUGGGCCUAGAGAAGAACACUCAGGGGGAUCCCUGCCGGUUCACUUUGACUUCAAGGGGGCCGGAGGGUGGCGUCCAGCGCUACAUCCUACAGGCUUCGGAUCCAACAAUCACUGAGGCCUGGACUCAGCAUAUAGUCCAGAUUUUGGAAAGUCAGAGGAACUUCCUCAAUGCACUGCAGUCACCGAUUGAGUACCAGCGACGGGAGAGCCAGACUAACAGCUUGGGAAGGAUAGGAGGGUCUGUAGGGGGAAGCCCUGGACGAUUCCGGCUUGGGGACCGAGCCCCAGUCAGCUCACAUACACCCAUCAAUGGCUCCCUCCCUUCCCUGUUGCUGCCCCCAGUGGGGGUGGCUGAAUGCCCCCUGCCUCAGAAUGAACAGGCCCCUCCUGCACCUGAAGACCCUAUCCGCCAGGCCCGGCUGGCCAAGCUGGAUGAAGAUGAGCUAUGACUGGUGACCUCCUCACCUUUUGGGGGUUUUGCUUUAUCAUUGAGGAUGGAGGGAGUGAGGAAAAGCCCUGGGGUCCAUAAAGAAGUUCUGAGAAGUUCAGAAGGAGCCUCUUUACUCCUUCGUAUCCCAGACCUCAAGGACUAGGAACAGAGAGAAAGACUCAGAACUGUGUCCAGCUGCCCCAGUCCUGGGUCUGUAUUCAUCUGCGUGUCCACUAUGUCCAUCUGUCCCCUGGGGGCUCCAUCACAUGGGGUUGUGCUUCCUCACCAGACAAUGGGACUCUGCGUAGGAGGGACUGUGGGGUAAGAGUGGGCAAGGGGCCAGAGCCUCCCUUUGGGCCUGGACCUUAUGCCCCCCUCCUGCUGACAAUGGGAGGAGGGGUCUUAAGGAGGGUGGACAGGACGCAGAGCUCGAUAAGAAGUAAGGGAAACAAUGGAAGGAAUUGAAGCCAAGAGAGGCCGCCCUAGCUCCACCCGACCCCCAGGGUUUUGGGGCCAGGGACUUGGGGGGCCAGAGGGUGACUGGUUGGGGUCUUGAAAUUUGGAAUUUCAGAAGCUGUCAUGGGGUGGAGCAGAAGUCGGAUUAUGAACCUAGGUUUAGGGUUCAGGAAGAACAAAAGGGUUUAUCGAGGAUCAAGAAAGAAGGGAGUCCAGUGUCCAAGAUGUAGGCAAGGUUGAGGGUUAUCUUCAGAGCUCUUCCUUUGCCCUACAGCAACUCCCCCACCCCCUAAUUUCCCCAAAGCAAAAUAUAAGCAGGGAGAAAUCAGAAUCAGAUUGUCUGAGGGACAGUCUUUCUUUCUUACAUUAAAAAUUCAAUAAAAUAAACAGUACCCAAACGGGUGACUCAAGAGUCAAUAAAAAUAAAUGCAUGCCGCGUUACCCAUCCUUUCAGCAUCUGUCCCCAACAUACUGAACUUAGUGUCCAAAUUACCCCCCACUCCCUCAGCCCAGCUAGGUAGUAGCAUUCAUGGAGGACUUUUGAACUAUACUCUCUGUCCCUUUGCCUCUGAAUUUGGGGACUGAUUUUGGACUAAUCGUUUUCCCCUCCUUUUCCUCU